CACGGGCUGUCACAUAAGCCGCCCGCGCACGCCGGCCAGCGCUGGCUGCCACGACACUGCACCUUUGCCGAGCCGUCUGUGGUGCUGCCCGCGCUCCCUGGUUGCUGCGCCGCCGCGCCUUGCCGCCCGCCUCGCCGAGCCAGCCGCGGCACCACUUGCGCGCGGCUGCCGCGCCGCCGCACCCGGCGCGAGGAGGGACGGCGAGGAGGCGCGCAGGGUGGAUCUGUGCUCUGCGGCUACUGGAGGGCGAGUGGGCCACCAUCGACCUCAUCUCACUUCCCCAUCACGAGGGCCGCUUAGUUCCCAUCGCGGCAACACUCCUUUGCAGGAAGUACACAGCAAGCAUGUCUUCUGAUUGAUUGAUGAGUGUGCUUUCAGAUGAGGCAAUCUCUUUUUCAUGUAAAUAUACUAGUAAUAUUUAAUCUCGUCUUCAUUUCCGAAAUCGAAUGUGGCUAAUCACCUGAUGCAUCCGUACAAUGUGGUUCCAUUUCAGAGAUAAUUUUUGCCUUACUUGAUUUAUUUCCCAGAAUGAAUGCCGAAUUAUUUGAUUCAUGUGUAGAACUGCAGUUCCAUUUUAGUUUCUCUUUUUCUUGUUGUAAUCAGUAAUCUUCAUGUUUGUUACUGCCGUUCAAACUAUUGUUUGUUCCCUUGCUUGUUGUGUAACUUUAGUGAUAAUUGCAUAAGCAUUUUACCAUCAGUGCAUAAUAUAUCAACUGAAAUUAGCUUGUUAACUUUAAGGUUAUAUGCUAUCACUGAAUACUUGAAUCGUCUGUGCAGUUAGUCUAGAAUGUUACAAUUCUUGUGAUGGAAUACUUCUUUCAAUAGUAAUAUCAAAUGCUGGAACUGGUUUUAAUUCGAAUUUGCUAAUUCAAAGUUUGGAUUUUGUGUUCAGUGAUGUAUUUAAAAUAAGUGAUAUGAAUAGAAGUAUAGAACUCAGCUCCUGAACUGAUUGUGCUAAUUAUUUGGUACUCUACCAGUAAAAUUAGCACAUAGUUCAUUUUGUGAAUGACUGAACCGGCAAGCAGAAUGUACAUUGCAUUGGCUUAUAGGGAAGUAAUAUUAAUUUGGUACUCGACCAGUAAAAUUUAUGGACUAUGGAUGGCAUAUGGACUGUAGGAAUUUGGCAGUAAUCCUUUUUGUUUUUUUUGUUUUUUUUGAAAGUACCCAGGAGCACUGGGGAGUCAUGUAAGAUUUCUGGACGCUCACGUUGACCGGACUCAACGCAGACGAGGCUGCCCGAGUAGUCUCGAAACGCGCCAUACCGAGGACGCACACCACCACACACGCGCGCACACACACAGCACACACGCACACAGCCCCAGUACCCAGGUGCGGACGGGGGCUCGAACCCCCGCCGGUAGGCUCCCAUCAACGGGAGUUACCGCUGGGCCAGAGGCCCAUCUGCAGUAAUCCUUUUUGUGGAAUGACCUAUGGAUGGCAUAUGGACUCUAGUUGACUGCUAGUUGUUAUCAUGAAUAUUUCAAAUACUUGUCCAAGUUCAGGGAAGAACUCUCAGUAAUGACUGCUAGUUGUUAUCAUGAUUAUUAAUUUGAGCAUCAUUUUUACUGAAUAAACUUGGGCUAAAGAGCAGAAUAUGAUUUAUACUUGUUUGCAGGGGUCAAAAUGCUUCCAUAAUAUGAUAGUGGAAGAUGAAAAGGAGUUGGUUAGAAUUCCAUUAGAUUUGAAUGAGAAUCCGAGUGCAACAGUUGUCCUACCAUCGGAAGUGAGACAAUUGUUCUACCACCGGAAAUUAGAGCCACAUGUCCAAUAAAAUAGUGACUUUAUUGUUAUAUCAUAUCAUGUAUUCUUGAGACCAUUUCUUUUGAAUAUAUAUAUUUUUUAUAUGUAUGCAUAUUUUAAGAGUCAUGAAUUAUUUGAAUGUACUGUGUAUUCUCUAAUGUAUGCAACAAAAGAUCUACAAAGAUCAGUUAUGCACUAGAUCACCACGAGUUUGUGUGUCAAAGGAUGAAUUAAUCACUCUGUAGACAACCAAAGAGACAGCUCAUUGUACAAGCUGUCUGUUUGUGACAAAAAGACAGCAGCUGUCUGCACUGUUGUACUUGCCCUUAGAUGUAUAUGCAUCUUAUGUAUUUAAUCACUAGUAUAGGGUGCUCUUUGCAUAUUAUAUGUGACCUUAUCGCCCCCAUUGGGCAUGUGAUGAGAACAUGCCCCCAGAGGUUACUCAAGUUACACAUAAACAUGUUUAUGAUGGGCCAAUUACACGAAGCCGUGCAAAAUUACUACAAAAAGAGGUGAACUCACUCCUAUCUGAAACUAACUUCAAUAUAUUUGAGGAUGUUAUACUGCCUAAAUGUUCUAUUUUGAUUCUACUUAGGCAUGUACAUAAAGAAGAUUGGAACAUCAAGCAAUCAGCCAACCAAUUCACGUCAACCAGUUCGGACCAGUCCGAACCAGUUCGGACAGCCAGUUUGGACCACCAAACGAAACACCCAUAACUCUUGAUUCUCGAAAGAUUUGAAGGCCCAUGAGUACCCGUUGGAAAGAUUAUGAAGUCUACUUUCCAACCCAACAAGUUUCAUGUCAUUUCGACUUCCCAAUCAGGAUUUAUGAUCGAAUCAUUGAAGACUGCUCAGAAUGUCAAGAGUCUGCCCGAGGAUUUAUCUUGCUCAACUUCCCAUGGAAGACUGUACCAUUCUACAUUGUUUCAUGGCGCAUGCCACACAAGCAUGGAAAGCUUAUCAAGUCUAGUUUCACACCCAACAAACGGCUUAUCGUUUCGACUUCCGAGUAGGGAGAAAUGGUCAUUUUACUAAAUACUGCGCAGAAGCCCAGGAGACGCGUGGGAAUUGAAGAUGAUCUCGUGAAUGCUUCACCUGUUGGGCCUCCAUCUUCCAAUGUGGAGACUUCAGUUCAUACCUAUCUAGGAGGGUUGUUCCUAGUAUAAAUAUUCUUUAUGUGUACUCAGAAAAGGACCUUUUGAUCAUUUGAUAAACCGAUAUGGUAUUCCAGCUGA